UAACUGCAGUCGAACGAGGGAGCAAUCCCUAGUGGCGAACGGCGGAGUAAUACAUGAACAACGUGCCCUGAAGUCCGGGACAAACGCAGAAAUGCCAUAAAUACCGGAUGUGGCCCCGACCUGGCAUCAGGAUGGGAUUAAACGGCUUUUCGCUUCAGGAGCGGUUCAUGGCCUAUCAGGUAGUUGGUGGGGUAAUGGCCUACCAAGCCGACGACAGGUAGCGGGUCUGAGAGGAUGAUCCGCUCGAGUGGGACUGAGACACGGCCCACACACCUACGGGUGGCAGCAGUUGGGAAUCUUGCACAAUGGGGGAAACCCUGAUGCAGCGACGCCGCGUGGAGGAUGACGGAUCUAGGUCUGUAAACUCCUUUUUCAUGGAAAGACUUAGGACGGUACCAUGAGAAUAAGGACCGGCUAACUACGUGCCAGCAGCCGCGGUAAGACGUAGGGUCCAAGCGUUGUCCGGAUUUACUGGGCGUAAAGAGCGCGUAGGCGGUCUGUUAAGUGUGAAGUGAAAUCUCCAGGGCUCAACCCGGAAACUGCUUCGCAUACUGGCAGACUUGAGGAAUGCAGAGGUUUGUGGAAUUCCUGGUGUAACGGUGAAAUGUGUUGAUAUCAGGAGGAACACCCAUGGCGAAGGCAGCAAACUGGGCAUUAUCUGACGCUGAGGCGCCCAGCGUGGGUAGCAAACAGGAUUAGAUACCCUGGUAGUCCACGCCCCUAAACGAUGGAUACUAGGCGUAAGAGGUAUCGACCCCUCUUGUGCCGCANCUAACGCAUUAAGUAUCCCGCCUGGGGAGUACGGCCGCGAGGGUUGAAACUCAAAUGAAUUGACGGGGACCCGCACAAACCGGUGGAGCAUGUGGAUUAAUUCGAUACUAACCGAAGAACCUUACCCAGGUUUUGACAUCCAUUGAAAAGCUCAAAAAUGGGCUUCCUCCCCCCCCAAGGGG
rnacentral:rRNA from 1 species